GAUGAACGCUGGCGGCGUGCCUAAUACAUGCAAGUCGAGCGGACAGACGAGGCUUUCGCUUCGCUGACGUGACGGACGGGCGGGUAAGUCACAGGUGGAUAACCUACCUAUAAGACUGAGAUAACGUCGGGAGAGCGGAGCUCAUAUCCGAUAAGAUAUUGAACGGGAGGGUUCUAUAGAGAUAGAGCGUUUUGCUGUGACUAAGAGGGGGUUCCGCGUCGCAUUAGCUAGUUGGUACGGUAACGGCCUACCAAGGCUACGAUGCGUGGCCGACCUGAGAGGGUGAUCAGCCACACUGGAACUGAGACACGGUCCAGACUCCUACGGGAGGCAGCAGUAGGGAAUCUUCCGCAAUGGGCGAAAGCCUGACGGAGCAACGCCGCGUGAGUGAUGAAGGUCUUCGGAUCGUAAAGCUCUGUUAUUAGGGAGGAACAAAUGUGUAAGUAACUAUGCACGUCUUGACGGUACCUAAUCAGAAAGCCACGGCUAACUUCGUG
rnacentral:rRNA from 1 species